UGGGGAAUUUUGGACAAUGGGCGAAAGCCUGAUCCAGCAAUGCCGCGUGUGUGAAGAAGGCCUUCGGGUUGUAAAGCACUUUUGUCCGGAAAGAAAUCCUUGGCUCUAAUACAGUCGGGGGAUGACGGUACCGGAAGAAUAAGCACCGGCUAACUACGUGCCAGCAGCCGCGGUAAUACGUAGGGUGCAAGCGUUAAUCGGAAUUACUGGGCGUAAAGCGUGCGCAGGCGGUUUGCUAAGACCGAUGUGAAAUCCCCGGGCUCAACCUGGGAACUGCAUUGGUGACUGGCAGGCUAGAGUAUGGCAGAGGGGGGUAGAAUUCCACGUGUAGCAGUGAAAUGCGUAGAGAUGUGGAGGAAUACCGAUGGCGAAGGCAGCCCCCUGGGCCAAUACUGACGCUCAUGCACGAAAGCGUGGGGGAGCAAAACAGGAUUAGAUACCCUGGUAGUCCACGCCCUAAACGAUGUCAACUAGUUGUUGGGGAUUCAUUUCCUUAGUAACGUAGCUAACGCGUGAAGUUGACCGCCUGGGGAGUACGGUCGCAAGAUUAAAACUCAAAUGAAUUGACGGGGUCAUAGCUG
rnacentral:rRNA from 1 species